CCGUGCUAGGCGGGGAGGUAGCGGUGCCCUGUACCCGCAAUCCGCUAUAGCGGGGCGGAACCCCCGCCUAAGGUCGCGCCUUGUGGAUGCGACCGUCGCCUGGGGCCAGGAGGGCCGGGUCCCGCGCAAUGGAAGCCCGUGAACCCCGUCAGGCCCGGAAGGGAGCAGCGGUAAGCGGGAGGAUCCAUGUGCCGCGGGGAUGCCUGGCCGGAGCCUGCUGCGGCGGCAUCGGCCGGAAGGUCAGGUCGAGGGCGGGUGCACGG
rnacentral:SRP_RNA from 1 species